GGGGGGAUAAUCAGAGAAUCUCAUCAACUUUGGUUUCUGUGUUUGAUCACUUCAUUUUGAUCAAAGUAAAGAAAAACUCUGUUUUAUGUCGUUUCGUGAUAAAACCUAUACAUAAAGGGUCAACUGACAAUAUACCAGUAUAUGAAUUUGUUGAAUGUAUAGAGAUAUAUCAUGUUUCACUCUCAAAAUCUUCGAUACAGUGCACUUUUUCUGUUGAUUCUUUCUCCCAUUUUAGAAAAAAAAAUCAGAUUAACUCAUGUAUUUACAGGUAAAGAUGUAUAUCAUAUGGAUAUAUUAUUUUGAAUAUUGUAAAUAUAAAUAUGUUUUUUUUUUGAAUUGUUGUGAAAUAGGAGAAAUAGGUUGCAAAACAUUCUUGUGUAUAGUUUAAUACAUUGGCUUUUUCUCUCUUAUAUGAAUAAAUCUCAUUGAUUGAAGCAUACAAACUAUUUCGAACAAUGUUAUGUACAUGUACUAAGUCUCAAACAGUGUCUUUUAUUACAUCAUAUAGGUCAUCAGUUCAUAUCAAUCAUUUGUUGCCAAGUUUUUAUGAUAAUUGACCUCAAUAUUGUUUUGUGAUGCUUUAAUAAUAUCAAGACAUGUUUACAUACCUGGGUAUUUAUCAGUGAACUGUAAAAUAUUUUUGUGAAAUAUAUGUAUUUACAUGAAAAGAAUCAUGUAUUGUUUACCUGUGCAUUAAAUAUAUACAUGUGUGUACAAAACUUUUAGGUUUGGCAACUUAGCCACAUAAUUAUUGAGGUAUGUAAAAGAAGUUGCCUAUAGUUAUUUAAAGCACAUUAUGAAUUAAACUAGAUAGAUUCAUAUGUUCACAUGUGUACAAUUGUCCCAUAGUAUACUCAGUAUUAAUAACAAGAAGCACUCAGAAUUGAAGUGGUAAUAUGAUUUUGAAGUACACAUACUUGUAUAUUAACUUGCCAUUGUCGUAAAAACUGUUCAAGGUUUCCCAAAAGAAGAUGGGCAAACAAGGCAUGCAAAAUGCCUAUAGCUUCAAAUGUAUAAAAAUCAAAUUCAAUUUGAGUAUUAAGUACUGUAGAAGUAUUUUUUGCUGUAUGGUAUUAAUUAACCAUAUGUACACAGUCACCAAUUUUCUGGGGAAAUUUUCCCCCGAGUAUUGAAAGUACAUUUAAGGCAUAUUGUGGCAAUCGAAGAAAAAAAAAUUCCUGAAAUUUGAACCUACUUUGAAUAUACUUUCAAAAAAAGGAGCAAAGACCCACUUAUAUAGAAAAAAUAUGAUAUGAAGAAAUUAUCAUUUUUCAUCAUUUUUGCCCUAGCUGGGGCUCUUUGGUGAGUGAAUGCUAUUUCAUAGAUGAAUAACCACACUUGUGAGAUUGUUGCAAAUUGGGAAGAUUUUACAUAAAGUAUAAAUUAAUGUUAACUGAAAUAUCAAACAAAAUUGGGUUAUAAUUGAGUUUAAUUUUUCACUUUCUUAUUUGUUGAACCAUAGGCAUUUUUCUCAGCUUGUUUGCCCAUCUUCUUUGGUAAAAAAUAUUUUUGUUUGUAAAUUGUGCUGGUUUGUACCGUAGAAUAAGCUGAAGCACAUGCACUAAUCUUUUGUACAAGGAAUGUUUAUAAAGUUUUUCCAUUUCAUAAAGAUUUUUUUUGUUGAUUGAUUCUUAUCUCAACUAUAAUCAUAUUCAUUUAUUUUUUCAGUAAAUAUUCUUUUGCAAUACUGUUGGUUGCAAUCAUUCAAUUAAUUUACUCUUGUUUUCACUGCAGUUUUUCAUCAGCUGUUUUUCAUGUGUUUAAGAACUAGUGCAAUAAAAGAAAUUGUACAAUUUGUGAAAAAUCAAAAGAAUAUUUAUAAGAUGUUGAAUUGUACGGUACUUGAAAGUAUUUGUUUUUAUCAUGUUCACUGCUUUUAUUCAGAACAGAUGACUCUCAUAAUCAGACCAAUUAAUAUUAAUUAAAGUUGUGAAUGGACAUGAACUGAUCUUAAUUUUAAUAGAAAAUUCAAGACAUACACAGAUAGCUUAUAUACAAAAAAUUAUUGAAAAAAAAAUAAAACUCUGAAAUAACAAUUAUUAUUACUUUAGGCAAAUGGUAAUUUUUUUUUUAAUAAAAGUGUGAAAAUAUUCAUGAUUAAGUACAAAGUAAAUUUGGAUUGUUGUCUUUACUGUCAAAUGAGAGUUUAGUGUGCACCAUAUAAACAGGGAAUCCUGGAAUUAUCUUAUUACAUGUAUUAUGAUAACUUUAACAAGAAAUACUCCUCAUGUAAUUUUCAACUUCUGUCAGAAACAUAAAAUGAAUGUAAAAAAAAAUUGUACAUGUAAAUCAUUAUGAAUUUACUUUUAUAUCCCACUUAACAACAGGCAAAUGCUAAAUUCUUAUUUGAUUUCACAAAGCAGGGGUACAUAUGUUCUGUGGUUUUUUGUUAAUGUUUUUGUUUUUUCUCGAGUUUUUUGUCUUCCUUUAUUCAGAUUUAGGAAAGGCAAAGUAACACAUGUAUUCAUAACUGUAGUAAAGUAUUGUGUCUAAAUAAAUGUAUAAUUUAUUAAAA